rnacentral:rRNA from 1 species
UACGUAGGGGGCUAGCGUUGUCCGGAUUUAUUGGGCGUAAAGAGCGUGUAGGCGGCCAGGUAGGUCUGCUGUGAAAACUCGAGGCUCAACCUCGAGACGUCGGCGGAAACCAUCUGGCUAGAGUCCGGAAGAGGCGAGUGGAAUUCCUGGUGUAGCGGUGAAAUGCGUAGAUAUCUGGAGGAAUACCGGUGGCGAAGGCGGCAUCCUGGACCGGCAUUGACGCUGAUGAGCGAAAGCUAGGGGAGCAAACGGG